GCAAAGAGAAGACGGCGCAGGCUUCGUAGCGCCGGCCUCGCUCAGUUUCGUGUUCUUGCUGAGCUGUGUUUGGGACCAGGUUAGGGGGGCGGCUGCGGAAGCGCCGGGGAAGCGCCGAGAAAGCGGAAGAGAAAGGCGGAAAGUGAAAGGAGCCGAAGAAUUGGAAAGGGAAAGAAAGAAAGGGGGUUGAGAGAAGAGUGUCGUCCUGGCUGUUCCGGCAGGAAGGGGUUACAGGCGGCUGAUGUAGUGAGCCACGCGUGUCCCAGCCAUAUCUGAGUUAUGAGUGGUUGCAGGGAAAGGGGGGAGGUGAGAGACUUGCAAUCCCCGCAUCCGAGGCUUUUCUCUUCCUUUUCUACCAAGUUGUUCACAGCAAUGGGUAAAAGUCCCAACCCGCGGAGGAGUAAACCAGUUGUGAGAUAGACACAGACCCUGGAAGAGAAACCGAGGGUCAAGACGCGAGAUACCUGCAGAGACAAAACUUGGCCACACGGGAAAUUGGAAAUCAAGAUUGUUCAGAAGUUUGUAAUGUGGUUUUCAUGUUUGAUAUUCGUUGUCUUAUUAAUGUGUGGAAAUAUUUAACUUGCAAGUGCAUAAUCCACUGGUUCUGUGGUGUGGUGUGGACACACCGUAUAAAACUUUUGACCAUCUCAAAAACCAGAUUUAUCACACCUUAACAGCUGUUCUGAAGGCUGUAGAGCUCUCGGCAUAUGAAGGCUCCCUCUGAACCUCUGCACUGAGACUUGUCCAAACUCUUGCUGACGAAAGUUCAAUUAACUGUCAAGAAGAAAAAAAGGGAAUUUUAUUUCAGCCAAACUGACGGUGAUAACACAGGAAGCAGUCUCAGAAAGCUCUGAGGACCAUUCUGCCUGUUAGAAGUCGAAGGCACAGUCAUAUACAUUUUUGAAACAAAGGAUCAUACAUCAAAAUGAUCGACUAAUAUUUUACAUAAACUUCACCAAAGACACGUAGUCCAGACAGAUUAACAGGGGACUUCCCUGGUGGCGCAGUGGUUAAGAAUCCGCCUGCCAAUGCAGAGGACACAGGUUUGAUCCCUGGUCCGGGAAGAUCCCACAUGCCGCGGAGCAACUAAGCCCGUGCGCCACAACUACUGAGCCUGCGCUCUAGAGCCCGCGAGCCACAACUACUGAAGCCUGCGCGCCUAGAGCCCGUGCUCCACAACAAGAGAAGCCCCCGCAGUAAGAAGCCCGCACACCGCGACGAAGAGUAACCCUCGCUUGCCGCAACUAGAGAAAGCCGCGCGCAGCAAUGAAGACCCAACGCAGCCAAAAAUAAAUAAAUACAUUUAUUUUUUUUUAAAAAGACAGCAAACUACAUUUGCAUCCCUUAACUAGGGAAGGGCAAACAUCAAGUUUCAAGGAAGCAUCUGGACUGUGGACGCUGUCAAUUAGCCUUGUAACUUUAAAAGGAAUUUAUCAAAUUUAUCAAAACAAGUGACAACUAACCCUGUAAGAUCGGCUCAGGAGACCAGGAGAACGCGAGUAAAAGAUGACUGGCUGCACACCUAGUCGGGGCUGCGGGACGCAGAACUAGGAAGCUUUGCACUCCUCUGGGUUUGGUCCGUCCCACAUUUCUGAGCUCAGGAGCAGUCGCCCCACACUGCAGUUUGAGCCAAUUGCGACAGGCCUAACCACCCCCAGCCCAGCCCAGCGGAAGGAACGGUUUCGGAGCUGUUUGUUUCCCUUUGAUAAACGAGCCCUUCCUUGUUCUUGCUUCUACUCUCUCUGGUAUUUGAUGCAACAGCCCCCCAGAAGCAAUUUAGAGUGACUGGUAAAACAAAGUAUACCAAACCCUCGCAGCAACCAAAAGGAUGGAGUUCCUUCUGGACUGCCUCCAGCUUCGGCCCUUACUGCUCAUCUGCACCCUAAGAGUCUCUCCUGAAGCUUCUCGUUCCGAAGAAGAGCAAAGCAGUCACCGGAGAAACCGUUCUGAUUACUGGAGCUGGACACGGAAUUGGGAGACUGACUGCCUAGAAUUUGCCAGACUUAAAUGCAGACUGGUCCUGUGGGAUAUAAAUAAGGCAUGUGGGAUCUUAAUUCCCCGACCAGGGAUCAAGCCUGUACCCCCGAAUUUGGAAUGUGGAGUCUUAACCACUGGGCCGCCAGGGACGCCCCUGAUCCC